GCUCGGUGUUCUCUGUGGCGGCGUGGGCAGCGGCAGCGCCGUGCUGCGGUCCGUGUCACUCGUUAGGCUUAUAAAGGCGUUUGAUCCCCGCGUGUGCGGUGGGAGCUCGCUUCCAGAGCCGCGAGAGGGGAGAUCCAGGCGUGCGAGCCGCAGAGCGCUGCGGCGGGCACGGGACUUUACACCGGUGCAUGUGGGAACGUGCACACAGUGCAGAGUCCUCUCAAACCGCUGUCCAUUGAAAAAUAAGGUGGAUCAUUUUGCCAUCUACUGGAGUUUUGCUCAUUCUUUUGCUGGCACACUUACAAAUGCUGCCUUAGCCCUGACAUCAAGACUGAUCUGCUGCCAUUUAGUGGAGAGACUGAAGAGAAAUAUCUUCCAUAUUAUAAAUACUGAUUGUUGA
rnacentral:lncRNA from 1 species